UACGUAGGGUGCAAGCGUUAAUCGGAAUUACUGGGCGUAAAGCGUGCGCAGGCGGUUUUUUAAGUCAGAUGUGAAAGCCCCGGGCUCAACCUGGGAAUUGCAUUUGAAACUGGAAAACUAGAGUGUGUGAGAGGGGGGUAGAAUUCCAAGUGUAGCGGUGAAAUGCGUAGAGAUUUGGAGGAAUACCAGUGGCGAAGGCGGCCCCCUGGCACAACACUGACGCUCAGGUGCGAAAGCGUGGGGAGCAAACAGG
rnacentral:rRNA from 1 species